UACGUAGGGUGCAAGCGUUGUCCGGAAUCAUUGGGCGUAAAGGGCGCGUAGGUGGCCCGGUCAGUCUUUGGUGAAAGCGCGGGGCUCAACCCUGCGUCGGCCAGGGAUACUGCCGCGGCUCGAGCACUGUAGAGGCAGGCGGAAUUCCGAGUGUAGAGGUGGAAUGCGUAGAGAUCCGGAAGAACACCGGUGGCGAAGGCGGUUAGCUGGGCAGUUGCUGACACUGAGGCGCGACAGCGUGGGGAGCAAACAGG
rnacentral:rRNA from 1 species